AUGCGACUGACCACUAUAUUGAUUUCAAUUACCGUGGUUCACAUAAGUGUAACAAAUGUUAGCUUAAAUGAGUAUGUUUGAAAAUGUUGAUGUCUCAAGGGUGAGCUGAACAUGUUAAGUUUCAGACAACACUUCCUGAAGCAACUUUGAUAAACAACCAGAAAUAACUAUUGAUUUUCUGGUUCAUUAAGAUAAACGUAGGUAUAUGUUGUUGGUUGUUGAGUCAAUUAGACCAUGCUAAUUUCAAGCUUAUAUUUCUACUAAAUAAGCUAUUUAAGAAUAUUAGCUGGUUAACUCCUUGAUCCUACUGUACCCUCUGAACUGAUACUGUACAUGUUUCGGGUCAUUCACAGCCCAUCCUAGUCACUCCUUCACACCAGUACGCCGCUCCUGCAACGUGAGGGCAGGAAAAAAUAAGUCACAGGAGUUGGCGAUGGAGUACAAACAGCCUUAAGGGCCGGUGUCCCUAUCCAGGCUGGGGCCCCAGAAAGACUUCUCCCACUGGCCGAAGCAGCCUCCCCAUCCUCUCCAGCCCCCAACCCUCCGCCCUCGAGGGAAACUGCUCUACUUCCUCCCCUUCUUUAAAGGAUGUGCCAAAAUAAGCAGCUAUGGGCCAGACGAUGAACACCUUUUCCACUGGUUGAUAGCAGUGGCUCACACAGCUCUGAAGAACCCUAAGAAGCAGCCUGGAGGGGAACGCUCAGUAGAACCACCAUGGAGACCAUUAAGAUAGCCUUACUCAUCUUCCUUCUAACCUCGCUCCAGCUCCUCACAACAGAUGUUUCUUGUGUUACCACACAAAAAUCAGCAGAACAUUCAACAACAGGCAAACCAUCAGAAACUACGACACCCGUCACGACUGUUCCUCUUUCCACUGUAAAGAACCUUGGUGCAAAUGUUACUGAAACCAGCGUUGCUGCAACCAGUGUGACCCCAACCAGUGUGACCCCAACCAGUGUGACCCCAACCAAGAAUUCUACCUGGAAUUCUACCACAGUGCUUGCUACAUCAACAGUAACGGAAAAUACAAAAAUGUCAUCCUCACCCCAAGUCCCAGUGAAUUCCGCAUCUCCAUAUACUAAGGAUAAUGGAACACAAGGGACCCAGGCCCCAACAACUGUUACCAAGAGUGACUCACGAAACAAAACCACCAUUUCUGACUUUACCAAAAAGCUCCCAGGUUCAGAGGCUGAAAAUACAGAUCAAGAUAGAGUCAAGGACAAUAAGAAUACGGAUCAUGUCGAUAAGAACCUGCUGUGGAUUCUUUUGCCAGUCCUGGCACUUGUGGGGGCUGCUGUCGUGGCCCUUCUGAAAAGUAAAUGCAUGAAGGACCACGAUCACACAGAGAUAACUGAUAAUGGAACAGAAAAUGCCUCUUUCCAGAGCAGGCCGGACAACGCCAAAGACGGUGUCAUGCUUCUCGGGGUGAAGUCUUCAGGCGGUGAAGACAAUGCUGCUGCAAGAUAAAAGGGAGGCCAUCCAUUUGAAAGGACCAAUGGAUGAGGACGAGCUCUUACAACCAAAAAUUGGUCCAGAUCCCUUCACCUUCAACGAUCUAAACCUUAUGGACUAUCAAAUACAGCAUCACAGAAUCACAAAAGUUACUAAAGUGGGAACAUUUGUAUAUGGUUUGUGAGUAUUGUAGGAUAUGGGGCUCUUAACUGAACACGUGUCUGUUAGAAGGUAUAGCAUGUUUUAUUAUGUACUUCAUUGUUUUGUGUAUUCCUAUUUUGAUGGUAAUUUAGUCAAGAAGGAAUUGUGUUUUUAAUUUAAUCAAGACCAACAUACAGACAUUUUAGUCAGGAAAACGAUGCUGGAUUCUGAAUUAACAUGAAUAAAUUAACCCAAAUUCUCAUUGUCUGAGUGUAAGAUGAUUGUCUCACCCCUGUAUUCAAGAUACUGGUUUUGAUUUGAUUAAAUCACCCAAACAUGCACGAAAUCCAAAUGUACUGAACCUGAAUUCAACACACAAUUCCUUGAUUGAAACCAGUUAGUGACCAGAACACAUGGUUAACAAGUGUUUGUAUGCUUUAAAUCUGUUUAAAAUAAUGAUUUCGUUUUCAGUGUAAAUGCCAGGAUUGUAAAGAUGAGCUUUUUUACCAGUAUGUUUCCUGCUUUUGAACAAGUUAUUUUGUAUAUUAGCUGUUGCUUGUCAGAAAACUUUUGUCAAAUGUUUCCCAAGGAGGGUUGGGUUUGUUUGAACCACAGAUGUAUGUUUCCCAAGGAGGGUUGGGUUUGAUGAAAUCACAGAGGUAUGUUUCCCAAGGAGGGUUGGGUUUGUUUAAAUCACAGAUGUAUGUUUCCCAAGGAGGGUUGGGUUUGAUGAAAUCACAGAUGUAUGUUUCCCAAGGAGGGUUGGGUUUGUUUGAAUCACAGAUGUAUGUUUCCCAAGGAGGGUUGGGAAAUCACAGAUGUAUGUUUCCCAAGGAGGGUUGGGUUUGAUGAAAUCACAGAUGUAUGUUUCCCAAGGAGGGUUGGGUUUGAUGAAAUCACAGAUGUAUGUUUCCCAAGGAGGGUUGGGUUUGUUUAAAUCACAGAUGUAUGUUUCCCAAGGAGGGUUGGGUUUGUUUAAAUCACAGAUGUAUAUUUCCCAAGGAGGGUUGGGUUUGUUUAAAUCACAGAUGUAUGUUUCCCAAGGAGGGUUGGGUUUGUUUAAAUCACAGAUGUAUGUUUCCCAAGGAGGGUUGGGUUUGUUUAAAUCAUAGAUGUAUGUUUUACAACAUUUGGGGUUAAAGCAAAUAAAACUAAAUGUGUUUAUUUUUUUAAUGGAGCAAAUCCAUAAGAUUUCCCUCUGGUCAAAGAUUAUUUGAAUUUCUCAAAUACAGAACAGCGCUGUUUUACUGAUCGGCAUUGGUUGAAUAUUUGAUUGUUUUGCACCCGUACAUGCUAACAAAACAUUGGCGCCAUUAUACAAUGAAUAAAGUUCAUGUUGAUUUUGGAUGUUGACUACACCUGGCUACACACCAUAUCUGAUUGAUUUGAAUGUGUUGAGUUAUAUAAUGCACCAUUGGUUCUUAACGGUAUGCAAAUAAGCAGGCCUUAUAAGCAUAUCAUAUUCCCAAAUAGUAAACACGUUUUUAAUGGACAGCAAUGUCCAGGCCCAGCUGCUCCCAUCACUCCUGGAGGGUUUAGUUCCAACCAGGUUGUCAUUCUUUGUCGUCAAACUGCACAGAUUAUCAGAUCUCACAAUGAUUUGUCUGAGAAACCAUUUGAAUAGGCUAUAUUAUAACACAGGCUUAGGAAUCUUCUGAGAUGCGCAGCAUCUAGAGUCUACUUGAUUUGCCACCUGUAAAAUGUCUAAUUUAUCAAAAUAAACAACAUGGCUAAAGUAGCCUGGUAACCUUUCAGAACUGCACAGCUGAAGAAUAGCACACCAAAGAGGGUAUUGUCCCUUUACGAGACAUUACCCUCACUGGGGGGCGAACAAGGAGGAAGCGGUGAUGAGGGUGGUGAAAAACUGAAGAGUGCUGCUAGUGCAACUGGUGAUGAUGAGGAAGGAGCGUCUGCGAUAUGUAGGUCUUCAAAGGUAAGCAUAGAGUUGUUGUCCAUCCAGACACUCAACCUCUCAGUGCAGGCCCUGAUAGAAAGGGUGGACAGACUCCAAGGAAUACUCUCUUAUUGGGCAGGUGGAACAUAAGAGACUAUUCGGAUGUACUCCAGUUCUCUCCGAGAAUGCUGACUAGGAACACUAUGAUACACCAGCCAGACCAACAAUCACACUGACUCCUCAACAAAAAAGACCAUGAUACAGCGUUAAUAUGUAUUAAAACAUUCAAAGAUAUGAGCCAGGGAAUGACCCCAGAGGACACUUCAUAGACUACUAUAACUCC
ensembl:lncRNA